CGUGCACCUCCUUAACCCUAGCCGCCUCCCCACCUCAGCCCCCCGGUCCCCGGCGGCUCCCCCCUCGUCCUCACCCUCUCCCUCUCUUUCUCUCUCCCCCCGCCAUUGUCGACCCCCACGGUUGGUUCGCCGCCUUCCUCUUCUUCGCCAUCGACGUGGACGUUGGCAUGCGCGCGCGGGCGGCAGAGCUUGCUGGCCGGCUGCGUGGCGCGCCCGUGCUGUACUGCCAGAAGAGCUUGAUCCGCCGGCACCGGCCAGGCUCUCGACUGACGGGCUCGCCGGGUCGCCGCCCCUCACGCCGCGCCGGCUAGGGGCGAGAAGGCGGAGGCGGGAGCGGCUGCUUCGGGCCCCGAUCUGGGGAGGGUAUGAGGCAGGGGAGGACGCCGUCCCUUUCGUUCCCUCUCUGAUUCGCCCUCUUCCCUCUUUCCUCUUUCCAUCCCUCACUUCGCCCUCAGGUCCGAGGCAACGAGUUUGCUUCCUCUGCUCCGUUCAUGUCAUUGAGCUUUUUCCUUGGCCAUAGCACCACAUUUGCGGCAGCACACCAGAGUCAAUUUGGUUGACUAGCAACAGAGCAAAGAGUAAAAUCAGGUCUUCACCUAUGGAGGAGGUAGAUACUGACGGAGUGUAUAUGACCAGGUGUCCUCCAGGUUCUGCAUCAUCAGUGUGUACCUCUAGAUUCUGCAUCAUUAGUGAGCAACUUACCUAAGCAAAUCACCCUGCCCUACGAACCACCAUUGCAAGCUGUUCACUUAACCUUCCAAAGCCAAGGUUCCUGUGUCGGCUUCUGUCGAUAGUAGAGAAAGUACUUCAGUUGAAGAUGCUAUUGACCUAUAUCCAAGGAAGAUGAAACUAAGCUGGAUGGUGAGAAUGCUGAUGCUGUGGUUACCGGAGAUGAGAAGAACAUGCAGUCUGACCAAACCUAGCCUAAGAGCAACCGAACCCAAUCAACAAUUAGUAGAAGUAGUUAUGAGAUGAGGCAGAGGAGAGCAGAGAGGACCGGAGAAGGAGUUGCAGACCUCGCCAACAAGGCCGUGACCCUGCAUCACUAAAAAAUGCCCCGUAUUUGUUUUUCAUGCUUGGGUGAUGGCUGACCAUGGCAUGUUCUUAUUAGUUCAGGUUGGUCUCUCCGGUUCUUUUUGCCGAUGGCUUGAUGUACGCACUGGCAACCUCUUACUGGCAUGCCUCUGUUCGAGAGAUGGGAUAUGAAGAAAUGGCAUUCGGGUAUGUUAUAUCAUUUGAAGCAAUGACACUUUAUUUUGGUUCACAUUUCUUUACAGGUUGUUGUAUGCAGAGUUUAUGAGGUUGCACUGCACCAUCAAACUAUGCUCCAUGUUAAGCAACAUCCAGAACUGCCAUUAUAUAUUUAAUGUAGUAGGUUGAUGCAAGUUUGUAACCAGUCAUGGAUUUAAAAUAGGCUUUCUACCUCUUUAUUUUGGCCGGCAUGUUUUGGCAUGUGUUUUUGUCAUUGAUCUGCUAUAUAUUAAUUACAUUUGAGUAGACUGUUGACUGAGAAAGCCUGAACAUGUUGUGUUUUGAUUUAUGAGGACUAAUAGAUAGUUUUCCCUCGGGUUUAUUUAUUUUCUCUCCACACUUUUAAUUCUACAUAAAAGUACAUUCUAUUGUUAUUUGUUUACUAAUGCAAUAUAUGUACCCUUAGUUGUCUCAACUUCAUCAAUUUUAGUUUGUGUUUUCUGCGGCGCAGA